rnacentral:tRNA from 1 species
GCCAAUGUAGCUCAGGUGGUAGAGCACAAGAUUCAUACCCUUGCGGUCGGCAGUUCAACUCUGCCCAUUGGCACCA